CCUACGGGUGGCAGCAGUGGGGAAUAUUGGACAAUGGGGGAAACCCUGAUCCAGCUAUGCCGCGUGUGUGAUGAAGGCCUUCGGGUUGUAAAGCACUUUAGUCAGGGACGAUAAUGACGGUACCUGAAGAAUAAGCCCCGGCAAACUUCGUGCCAGCAGCCGCGGUAAUACGAAGGGGGCAAGCGUUGCUCGGAUUUAUUGGGCGUAAAGGGUGUGUAGGCGGCUUUGUAAGUUAGAUGUGAAAGCCCAGGGCUUAACCCUGGAAUUGCAUUUAA
rnacentral:rRNA from 1 species